UUUAUUAAUAAUACAUCCAGACACAUGAUAUAGCCAAGAAAAUGUACUUCUUUUCCUAAUACGAGUCUAGAUAUUGAUAAAUUAUUACAAAUGAACCUCCUCAGAAAUUCUGAGGUUUCAACCUCGGAGAUAUUUGGGCUUUUAGUGGAUUUUUCAUCACCACAGUGAACUCUUGCUUCUCUGACAAAUCGACUUCAUCCCCAUCAGCAGCCAUCCACUUGAAAUUCCAAACCAAGUUUGCCACAAAAUAUUCCAAAUGAAGCAUUGCCAAACCAUAUCCAGGACAAAUCCUUCUCCCUACCCCAAAAGGCAUCAUCUUUAUCUCCCUACUUCCAGUUACAUCAAAUGCUUCCCCUCCCUCAGUAUUCAGAAACCUUUCAGGAUUGAAUGCCAUAGGAUCUUCCCAGACAUUAGGAUCCCGACCCAUCUCUGCAACCAUGAAAUUUAUAGUGCCGUUUUUGGGAACCACAAACCCAUCAAGAACAGUAUCUUGGGUCACAGCAUGUGGCAGCACGAAGUGCCCUGGAGGGUGGCGCCUUAGUCCUUCCAAAAUCACUGCUUUCAGAUAUGGCAUCCUGUGCAAAUGAUCGUCUUUAACCUCUUGCUCUUCCCCCACAACAUCCUUAAUUUCCAUGAAAAGCUUCUCUUGAAUAUGUGGGUACUUAACUAAAUUUGCAAAGAUCCAUUGCAGGGCUGUGGAUGUAGUAUCUGUACCUCCAUCAAGAAAUUCAGAGCAUAAAGAAACUAUUUCCCCUUCUUCAAGCUUUCUGUUCUCAUGUGGAAGCUGCAAAUCCAACAGAGUAUCAACAUAUGAUACUAUAAACUCUUCUUUUCCCAAUUUAUCGUCUUUAUCUUUGCUUAAAUUCUCAAUCCUGGCGUUCUUUCUCGCUCUGAUCAAAGGAAUCAACACCUUUUCUUGGUCUCUUCGAAUCUGCAAGAACUCAUCCCAGCGUUUAUAAAACAAUAUCCUCGUCAAACUUGGCCAGAAAUUCAGCAUACUGAAACGAUUAAAACUCAGCAGCAUGCGACGCUGACCGUCUUCUACUUGUUUGAUCUUCUCUUCCUCAAGCUUGUCUCCGAAACACAUGAGAACUAAUAAGCAGAACAUAGCAUACUGGAAAUGGUCUUUAACACAGUGGACAACCUUACCACUUUCUGACUGAGACAUGAGGCGGUUGAUGAGAAUAUCCAGAACCCAUUUGCGUGCGUGGGAAUAGGACUUGAUACGCGAAGGGUGGAGGAUUUCAGAGGUGAGAUUACGGCGGAGAAGCCGCCAAGUUGGUCCAUAGGAGGCAGAACUGAUAUUGUGCUGAUUGCUAGUAAUUAUUUUGCUGACAGCUAGGGCAGGAGGGCGGUCAGCGAAAACAGCUCCGUUUUGGACAAGAGCUUGGUGGGCGAGGGAGUGAGUGGUGACGAAGAUGGCAGGACGAGAGCCGAUACGGAUGGUGAUGAUGGGACCGUAUUUGGCACGUAGGCCUUGAAUAAUAGACUCGAGUUGGGAGAAAGAUUUGAGGAGCAAUAAAAGGCUGCUGAUGAUGGGAAUGGUAGGAGGUCCUGGAGGAAGGCUGCGAGAGGAUUUUCCGGUGGAUUUGAGAAGGGAGAAGAAGGAGUUGAAUAGCAGACAGAGGGACAAAGAGAUGAGGACGAUGAACCAGGUUUCCAUUUUCUGGCUUCUUUGAGUGGUGGGGAAAGCAGAUAAAGACACAGGCGCAGUGUUCUGGACCCUGGGGAAAUAAAGGCUCAGCAAUGGAAAGAUAUCAUCUUUCGUGGUCUCCAAUCUACCAGCCUAUCAU
rnacentral:misc_RNA from 1 species